UACAGAGGGUGCGAGCGUUAAUCGGAAUUACUGGGCGUAAAGCGUGCGUAGACGGUAGCGUAAGUCAGAUGUGAAAGCCCCGGGCUCAACCUGGGAACUGCAUUUGAGACUGCUCUGCUCGGGUGCGGAAGAGGGAAGCGGAAUUUCCGGUGUAGCGGUGAAAUGCGUAGAUAUCAGGAGGAACACCGGUGGCGAAGGCGGUUCUCUGGGCAUUACCUGACGCUGAGGAGCGAAAGUGUGGGGAGCGAACAGG
rnacentral:rRNA from 1 species